CUGUUCGAUGUCAUUCUGGUGUGGUUUGAUGUCAUUCUGGUGUCAGAAGAAUUGCCGAAUGACACAAUUCUUCUGCCGAAUGGAAUAUAAUCCCUACUGAAAAACAUGUAACAUCAUAAUUUCAAUUUUCUACAUUAAAUGAAAAAUAAACCAUCAAAGCCUAUUAUUACUUUCAUAAGACACUUAUCAGUUUUCAUUCAUCUCUUAUUGGAUAGCACUCUAAUACACACAUUGUUUUGUGUAUGGAUGCGUGUUAUUUUAUGGUAAUGUUUACUUUGAAUAGUCAGAGAUCAGAGAUGUAUACUUCCGACAAGUUUGCCUUCCCUUCCGUAGGAAAAAUUCAGUGGCAAGUACGAGGGCCUUCCGUUGGAACGUUGCCAAGAAACGUGAAAUCUUUAAAGAACGCAUUGGAAAAGCGGCCGCAUUGGUAACAGUGUCCGAAUGCGAAACCAGGUGAUUUUGUGAGUGCGAGCCUCUACUCCUCCAACUCAAAUAACUAACAUUGGGAUAAGAAUUGUGUGUAUUAGGUGCUUUCCACAUUACUAAGUGUCUAUGAGUUACCCGGGUUAACUAUAAAUAUGCUUAUACGUAAUUGAUUGGGGAUUUGUAAACAAAAUAAAUGCAAAGUUUCAUUUUAAAUUGACAUCAAAAUAUACAUUUGUUAUUGCCAAAAAUCUGACACGCAUGCCCUUUUCUCAAUACUUUUAAAGAAGGUAUUUAGCAUCUUUCUUUCGUGUAUUGAAAUUGUUUAGUAAAUUAAUAUAUGUCAGAUUUUAUUCAGUUAUUAGUUUCGUAACUGUGACAGCCUGAGCUUGAAUUUGAUCAACACCAUCCAAAUGUAUUCCUUUUAUAAAUUAAUUCCAAUAAAGGCGGUGCUAGGGGCGUAGGAAAUUGUGCUCUUCAUUAUCUCUUAUGAUCAUGAACAGACUCAAUCACACUAAGUCUGCCAUCAUUUCGCGUGGUUGCAUUCUAUGUUUCUAUAGGAUCUUCUUACAGGUUUUAUGGAUUGGGAUUUCAGGAACUGAUAAUAUAUUCUGAGUAAUUCCCUCUGUGUUACUGCAGGAUUACUGCAUUAAACCCAAUGGUUAAUCCAUACAAAUUUGAAUCUAUAUUAAGCGUAACUGAGCAGAUAUAUAUUUUUUGAUUGUCUGCUUGAAAACAGCAACAUUUCUGAAAAUGUUAAAACUGUAAAUAACAGUCAUUGUCAACAUGUAAAACAUUAAGACAGUGGCCAAUUUUAAUUAUGUAUAAACUAAUACAUAAGUUCAGUAUUUUCCAACUGUAUAAAUAUAAUACUUUCAUUUACUGAAAUGACAAACAAGAGUGUACAUAUGCAUUUAUUUCAAAAGUAAGUCGUACUAAUGGCUGAUCAGAGUUUUUUCUGGUAUGAAAUUACAUGUAUUCGCUUUUUUUUUGGCUUUUUUCCACCAUAAAUGAUUACAAUGUAACCAUGGAAACUUAGGUCAUACAACCACACUACAACUGUUGGUCUCACUUUUGAUCUGAUCUUGCCGUGUAUUUGAUUGAAUAAAUGAUUUUGACUCGCACAAGAAAAUACAAGUUACAGACAUUCAAGAUGUGUGCUG